CCCCGGGCCCUGGCGCGGCGCCUGGAGCUCCUGCUGCUGGAAGCGCCAUGUGACCGUGACUCUGCACAAGCCGGGAACGCGGAGAAACAAAGGGCGGCUCAGCGGCCACCGGGCGCUCAGGCUGGCACGGAGGGCCCGGCCCCAACCCCAACCGGGGCCCCGCACUCUUGUCCCUACGGACCCUCGGUGCCCAGGGCGAGCAGGGAGGCGCCGGAUCCUGCUGAGGCCCGGGGCGGGGAGCGCGGCCUCCCAGGGAGCUGGGGAGGGAGGGCAGGCCUGAGGACGCUGAAAUGCAAGUGCGAGGCGGGGUGGGCGAUGUCGGGUCCGGGCUGGGCCGUGGAGUGUUGCAGGUUCCUUCCUCACGGCUGGCUCUGGCAAAUGACCCUCCCUGAACCUCUGUUUCUGUAAUAGAGGUGAAGAUAAUCGUCCCCACGCAAUUAUCCUAGGGUUAGGAGGCUUAAGGGAGGCGUCCCAUGUAGAGCGGUGAGGACAGCACAGGGUUGUCGGGCCGCAUUCUAGCUCCUCUCCCACAUAAACAUGCACAGGAUUUCGGGUCACUGAGCUGCCACUUUCCAGUCACAGCAGGGAUGUAGUUCCGGCCAGAGCACCAGGAAGAGGAGCAGGAUGGGGCAGCUGGCACAGGGCGGAGCCAGGGUGGGCACCGCUGCGUAUAUGGAGAGGGGAUUAGCACUGGGGCUCUAGCAGAAGCGGGGAGAUAGGAAAUCCCAAGACAGCCUGGUUAUCCGGCCCUGGCUCUCUCCCGGCCCUGGAUGGGAGUGGCUUGUCUCCUAGUCACUUUCCCCAGCCCAGGGGGAACAAAGGGGCUGGAGAGGGUGGGGGCCCACCUUGGAGUGGGCCUCAGGGUACAUUGAGACUCCUGCCUCCGCACCAGAUUUGCAGGUUUGACUUCUCCUGAGGAAGCCUCCACCCUAUGGCCACAAGGCCCUAGGGCCUGUAUUUACAGAGUUCUGAAUUUACCUGGCCCUAAAACCACGUGGCCUGUGCAUGCAUAAUAGAGGCCACAGCACAGAGCUCUUGAGGUAGUGGCCCAGUGGGGACUCUGGGCUUGGUCCCAGCUGGGGGACUGACGUUAAGGAUCUAGCCUCCGUUCCUUCCCUGCCUGGGGAAAAAGAGAAGAGGAGCAGUCCAGGCACUGGCGACAGCCUGUAAUAAGAGGCCCUGAGUGCCACCAAGAGCAUGGUUGGAGAGUGACUCAGCCUCGUUGGUGCCUCCUCAGCAUGCAGGACAGGACCAACUGCUGCUACUGCCCACUAUUGUGUAUCCAGGACCUGGAAUACGGUAGGUGCCAAGUAUUUGUUGAAAGAGUCAUUGAAUAGGUUGAGUUCGCCCUGGAUUCCUCUAAAGCUGAUAACAGUCCUUGAUCAGGGCUUCCUUUGUAAGAGAACAGUCCAACCCAGUGCUGUCCAAUAGAACUUUCUGUGAUGAUAGGAACAUUCUUUUUUUUUUUCUUCUUUUUUUUUGAGGAAGAUUAGCCCUAGCUAAUCACCAACUGGGGGAUCAAGUGCUGGAGAAAUGCCAUUUGGUGAAGAAGCCCAUGGAUUGCCAAGAGUGGUUUGCCUGUCUCCAAUGGCCCGGAAGGACCUAUAGGGUGAAGUGUGAGGUGGGGAAGGGCGUGAAUGUCGUGGCUACCCCCAGACAAGACCCCACCCGCCGGGGCUCUGAGUGUGCUCGAUGCAACCGUCCAGCAAGCUUUCUGCUUUGGUUUCUAAAGAGUUAGGCUGACUGCCACAAAAACAUGGGCUCUGGAGUCCCAAGGACCCAGGUUUGAAUCUGGCUCCGUCACUCACUACCUGUGUGGCCCUAACCGUGGUCUCUUUACUUUUAAAAUGGAGCUAAUGAUACCUGCUUCUUAGAGUUGUUGUGAGAAUGAGAAAUUGUAUAUGUACGUGACAUGUACUUAGCCUAACACAGAGCCUGGCAUAUAGUAGAGCCGAAUGAUUGGUUCCUAAUGACAGUCCUGACUGUGGAGAGGCAGAGCCUGGUGCUGGCCCUCCCUGCAGGCUCCAUUCUCAGGGGCUCCCUCUGAUCUGGGCUUCUCCAGCACCCCUCUGCCACGUGACCUUCAGGCAUUGUAGGCACCGUCAUUAUUUUCUCUGCCCACCUGGGUUUCCCAUCCCCCUCCUCCUGGUAACACAGCCCACUUUCCCCACCAUGGGACCAGGUGUGUGAACUAGGUCUGGCUGGGACCACAACAGGCCCACUCAAAGCCUUCUCUGAGAUGGAUAUGUUGAUGUGGAGAGAGAGAAGCCCUCUUUUCAAAUCUUUGCCAAUGGCCACGUGCCCCACCACGGCGACAGAGCCUGCGUACAGAGGUCAGGCAAAGACAAGGAGAAAAACCAUCCUGGCUUUCCCCAUAGUGCCUCUCUCAGCUGCGUGAGCUAGAAAUUUCCUUUUUGGUGUAAGCUAGUGGCAAUAUGGCUUCUGAUAUUUGUAAAGAAGACUCCUGCUUGGUACAGGCACUUGUGUCCUUGGAAUUUGGGGACAUAAGGAAUUUGUCUGAAGUACAGAGCAGUUAGUGGUAGAACCAGAAUUCAGGCUUGUUUGGCUGGCUGUCUAUUCACCAUAAACUAUACCACACCUUCCACACAUCAUUCACAAGUUCUUUAUCGAGUGCAUGCUAUGUGCCAGACGCCAAACUCACCUCCCACUCCUCCUUCCACAGCUACUGAAGUCCCCAUGCCCUCAUUCACUCCCAGUCUUUAAGGACCCUGUCAGGAGACAUAAAAAACUGCCCUUCUCCACCAGGAUAGGGCCCAGCACACUCACUGUCUUCCCAGAAUCGGUACUUCAAGAAUCCUCCUCAAAUACGAAGGAUGUGAGAGGAGCCAGCCGCUACCUGCCUACCGCAGUCUGCUCAGCGUGGAGUAAGUCCAGCCCCGGCCCCUGGAGGAGUUCCUGCCUGUGUCCCACUCUGAGUGACUGCGAUCCUGUGGCCCUUGUGGCUGCAGUGACGAUUUAUGGGGAUACUGAGGUCAUCUUCAAAGUGCUUUUGAUCUAAAUUCUCCCAGAUGUACCCUUUCUUUACCUUGCAAAUCUGGUUGAGGAGAGAGAGGGCGUUGGGAGCAGAAGGACUUCGGGACAGUGAUUUCCAAAUCUGGUCCUCAGAAUACCGAUGGACCAUGAUGAUGACGUCACCAGUCGGUGACAAAAAAGGAGAAAAGCACAAACUGUGGACUGAGCUUUUCCUGAAGCAAAAUUAUUUCAUUUAAAGGACCAUCCUUUAAAGGGAAAUCAAGUUCUUCCUCCUUUUUUGGUAUUAAACUAUACUUUCUUUCA